rnacentral:rRNA from 2 species
UAACGAAGUGGUUGAUGCCAUGCUUCCAAGAAAAGCUUCUAAGCUUCAGGUAACCAGGAACCGUACCCCAAACCGACACAGGUGGUUGGGUAGAGAAUACCAAGGCGCUUGAGAGAACUCGGGUGAAGGAACUAGGCAAAAUGGCACCGUAACUUCGGGAGAAGGUGCGCCGGUGAGGGUGAAGGACUUGCUCCGUAAGCUCAUGCCGGUCGAAGAUACCAGGCCGCUGCGACUGUUUAUUAAAAACACAGCACUCUGCAAACACGAAAGUGGACGUAUAGGGUGUGACGCCUGCCCGGUGCCGGAAGGUUAAUUGAUGGGGUUAGCUAACGCGAAGCUCUUGAUCGAAGCCCCGGUAAACGGCGGCCGUAACUAUAACGGUCCUAAGGUAGCGAAAUUCCUUGUCGGGUAAGUUCCGACCUGCACGAAUGGCGUAACGAUGGCGGCGCUGUCUCCACCCGAGACUCAGUGAAAUUGAAAUCGCUGUGAAGAUGCAGUGUAUCCGCGGCUAGACGGAAAGACCCCGUGAACCUUUACUAUAGCUUUGCACUGGACUUUGAAUUUGCUUGUGUAGGAUAGGUGGGAGGCUUUGAAGCGUGGACGCCAGUCUGCGUGGAGCCAACCUUGAAAUACCACCCUGGCAACUUUGAGGUUCUAACUCAGGUCCGUUAUCCGGAUCGAGGACAGUGUAUGGUGGGUAGUUUGACUGGGGCGGUCUCCUCCUAAAGAGUAACGGAGGAGUACGAAGGUGCGCUCAGACCGGUCGGAAAUCGGUCGUAGAGUAUAAAGGCAAAAGCGCGCUUGACUGCGAGACAGACACGUCGAGCAGGUACGAAAGUAGGUCUUAGUGAUCCGGUGGUUCUGUAUGGAAGGGCCAUCGCUCAACGGAUAAAAGGUACUCCGGGGAUAACAGGCUGAUACCGCCCAAGAGUUCAUAUCGACGGCGGUGUUUGGCACCUCGAUGUCGGCUCAUCACAUCCUGGGGCUGAAGCCGGUCCCAAGGGUAUGGCUGUUCGCCAUUUAAAGUGGUACGCGAGCUGGGUUUAGAACGUCGUGAGACAGUUCGGUCCCUAUCUGCCGUGGACGUUUGAGAUUUGAGAGGGGCUGCUCCUAGUACGAGAGGACCGGAGUGGACGAACCUCUGGUGUUCCGGUUGUCACGCCAGUGGCAUUGCCGGGUAGCUAUGUUCGGAAUAGAUAACCGCUGAAAGCAUCUAAGCGGGAAACUAGCCUCAAGAUGAGAUCUCACUGGGACCUUGAGUCCCCUGAAGGGCCGUCGAAGACUACGACGUUGAUAGGUUGGGUGUGUAAGCGCUGUGAGGCGUUGAGCUAACCAAUACUAAUUGCCCGUGAGGCUUGACCAU